rnacentral:rRNA from 1 species
AUUGAACGCUGGCGGCAGGCCUAACACAUGCAAGUCGAGCGGCAGCGGGACCUUCGGGUCGCCGGCGAGCGGCGGACGGGUGAGUAAUGCCUAGGAAUCUGCCUGUUAGUGGGGGAUAACGCGGGGAAACUCGCGCUAAUACCGCAUACGUCCUACGGGAGAAAGUGGGGGACCCUCGGGCCUCACGCUAACAGAUGAGCCUAGGUCGGAUUAGCUAGUUGGUGGGGUAAAGGCCCACCAAGGCGACGAUCCGUAACUGGUCUGAGAGGAUGAUCAGUCACACUGGAACUGAGACACGGUCCAGACUCCUACGGGAGGCAGCAGUGGGGAAUAUUGGACAAUGGGCGAAAGCCUGAUCCAGCCAUGCCGCGUGUGUGAAGAAGGUCUUCGGAGUGUAAAGCGCUUUUGUACGGGAAGAAACACUCCUACGUGUAGGAGCUUGACGGUACCGUAAGAAUAAGGAUCGGCUAACUCCGUGCCAGCAGCCGCAGUAAGAC